rnacentral:rRNA from 1 species
AACGAACGCUGGCGGCAUGCCUAACACAUGCAAGUCGAACGAGACCUUCGGGUCUAGUGGCGCACGGGUGCGUAACGCGUGGGAACCUGCCCUUAGGUUCGGAAUAACUCCCCGAAAGGGGUGCUAAUACCGGAUAAUGUCUUCGGACCAAAGAUUUAUCGCCUUUGGAUGGGCCCGCGUUGGAUUAGCUAGUUGGUAGGGUAAAAGCCUACCAAGGCGACGAUCCAUAGCUGGUCUGAGAGGAUGAUCAGCCACACUGGGACUGAGACACGGCCCAGACCCCCACGGGGGGGAGCGGGGGGGAAUAUUGGACAAGGGGCGAAAGCCUGAUCCAGCAAUGCCGGGUGAGUGAUGAAGGCCUUAGGGUUGUAAAGCUUUUUUACCCGGGAUGAUAAUGACAGUACCGGGAAAAUAAGCCCCGGCUAACUCCGU